UACGAACCGUGCGAACGUUGUUCGGAAUCACUGGGCUUAAAGGGCGCGUAGGCGGGCUCGCAAGUCAGGGGUGAAAGCCCGCGGCUCAACCGCGGAAGCGCCUUUGAUACUGCGGGCCUCGAGGGGGGUAGGGGCGUGCGGAACUUCCGGUGGAGCGGUGAAAUGCGUAGAUAUCGGAAGGAACACCGGUGGCGAAAGCGGCGCGCUGGACCCCCACUGACGCUGAGGCGCGAAAGCCAGGGGAGCAAACGGG
rnacentral:rRNA from 1 species